rnacentral:rRNA from 1 species
GGGGAAUUGGAGACGCGAGGCUUUCUGUGAAGCCGGCCUGUGAGGGAUCCGGUGGAGAGAUCACUAGUGAGAAUGAUGACAUGAGUAGCGACAAAGAGUGUGAGAGACACUCUCGCCGAAAGUCCAAGGGUUCCUGCUUAAAGCUAAUCUGAGCAGGGUAAGCCGACCCCUAAGGCGAGGCCGAAAGGCGUAGUCGAUGGGAACCAGGUUAAUAUUCCUGGGCCAGGAAGAAGUGACGGAUCUCGAGGGUAGUU